UCCCAACAUUCUAAUGUUAAGCGUUACAAAAUCAGGCUGCAAGAAUUCUAUUUACUAUGAUUUAAUAUCUCCAAGGAAAAGGUAAGAGUCUCCAUAGAACAGUUAAAUUCUACCAGCUACAAGUACUGCGAACUGUUCAAUGGCUGAGAAUGCUUUAAUUUAUUUAAUUUUUAUCUACUUAUGAAAAUGUUAUUAGUAUGCCUGUUUCCUGGAUAAAGAGAUUUAACCAAAGUGCUACUGCACACAAGCAUUGCAGGAUGGAACAGAGCCGAUUUUUGUGGUCCUCCUGCCUUGACAGAAGGAUCAUGGUCAAGCUGUGAUUGUCAGAUUACAAUAGUGCCGGCUUCCCUCAGCUGGGAUAGGAGUGACCUGAGAUCUCACAGGAAUACUAGUGAGAGUCCUAGGGCUCCUUGCUGCCCCUGUCAGAUCGAAUAUACGAGGAUUACUUAGGAGAAAUACCCAAAGCUGCAACUGUAACUCCAAAGACUGGGACAUCUCUCAAGAGGAAAAAACCUGAGAGAUGUGAUGAACAUCUAUGGGGAAACAGAGCGUUGAUGGGAGCCUAUCUAAUUCCCUUGACUAGCACAGUAACUACUGAAAGAGGAGCAACAAUUUAAUUUCCACAAACAACAAAGAACACAAGUACAAGCGCAUCACUGCGUCUCUUCUCCUUCUUGUGAUUAUGUUACCAUCCUCAAAUGAGAGCUUUCCUCAGGAGCAGAAGAGCCCGGAUAAAGCAGGAAAAUCUUGCAUUAUUUUAACAAAAAAGGCAGUGUUCCAUCUUCAUCCCCAGAGUCCUAGGUGUAGCAGAGAAUGAAAUUAGCAUAAAACAGAAUUACAGAAUUGAAAAAAAUGAAAAAAAUUAAUCAAUAUAAAGUUUUAGGUGGCACAGGAGUCUUUAUAAAGAAAUAAAGAUUCAACAAAGCAGAGAUAAGUUAUUACUAUAUUGAGCUGGACAAUGAAAAAGGAGUAAGUCACGAAGAAGCAGAGAAAUUGUAUGAAGAGGGUUUAGAGUUAAGAGUUAUUUUAACAAGGUCUGUGUAGAACUCUUUGAACUUGACACUUAAUCCUUGAGGAAAGGAACACCAUUCCUUUUGGUGUAGGCAGGGGCCCUUCACCUAGGAUUCCCAUCCCAUGCAACUAAGAAACAAAAAGACACCAGAAUAGUCUUCUUGUGCCUGCUGUUUUUCCAAAUGCCUCUAAUUCAGAAUGGUCAAUAUGCUGGCAAGGUAUAUAUUUAACCUCUUCAGUAUCCUCUUCCAAAUGCAUUGAUUAUUUUCAUGCUUUAUGAAAUUAUUUUUACUAUAGAUCCAGUAUUCUUUUAACCACAAUAGUAGAUAUUUGUCAUGGAUCUAUUUAUCUAUGUUAUAAGAACUAUCUUAAAAUAGCAUAACAAUUUAUCUUUAGUUUAAUCCUAAUCAAAACCAUUUACACAGAAAUGGAUGUGAUGGCAAUUCUUAGAGUUCAGAAAGUUUUUAGAAAUGAAACGCGUAACAGAUGUUCCAUAUAUAUCUUCUAGUAAAAUAUAUCAGUUACAUGAAAAAAGAAAUAUGAUAUUCAGAAAAAUUGAAAUAGACAAAAUAUAAUUAACCCAGCUGAAGUUUAGCCAAAUUAAUACAGUUUGUCCUAGUGAAGCAAAAGGCAGUGUCUCAUUUGUGCCAAUAUCAAGGAAAGUUUUAAAAUGAAAUUAUAUGAAGGCAAUUGAACAGUUAUAAUGUCUAUUCAUUGCAUAGCUAAGAGAAUUAAUUUCAGCUUUUAUUAGCUUAUAAAAUAGAAGACAAUUCUUGCACAGCAUUCUCUGUUUUUAGGGAGAAGCAGCUUUAGUAUAUAUUUUGAGCACCCCAGCUCAAUAGUUUUUUGAAGACCCUGGUAUACAGUGCUCCUUUUAUAGCAUCGCUCCAAAUGUCAUAUCAUAUCAUAAGCAAACUGGGGAGGAGAAGGGCUUCUCUUACUUAAGGCAGUUUCUGCAGUACUGAACAGUGAAUGAGCAUUGUGUGGCAGCCAUCCAGAAAUAAUAAAAUCAAGUCCCUAUAAUAUUAAAAAGUAUGCUAUGCUUAAAUAUGUUGCUCUCAUUGCUAAGAUAUAUUUUUAUUUGCUCAAGUUAAAUUCUAGUCAUGAUCAAAAGAUAUUAGCUCAA
rnacentral:lncRNA from 1 species